GACAAACGCUGGCGGCGUGCGUAACACAUGCAAGUUGAACGCGAAUAUAUGAGAAGUGGUAACACGGAUUGUAUAUUUGAGUAGCGGACGGGUGAGUACAACAUGAGAACCUAUCCUUCAAAGGGGGACAACGUUUGGAAACGGACGCUAAUACCCCAUAAGCCGGGAGGUUAAAGCAGCAAUGCGAUGGAGGAGGGGCUCGUGUCCUAUCAGCUGGUUGGUGGGGUAAUGGCCUACCAAGGCGACGACGGGUAGCCGGCCUGAGAGGGUGUACGGCCACACUGGAACUGAGAUACGGUCCAGACUCCUACGGGAGGCAGCAGUGGGGAAUAUUGGGCAAUGGGAGAAAUCCUGACCCAGCGACGCCGCGUGAACGAAGACGGCCUUCGGGUUGUAAAGUUCUUUUAUGUGGGAAGAAAACAAUGACGGUACCACAUGAAUAAGCCCCGGCUAACUACGUGCCAGCCGCCGCCGUAA
rnacentral:rRNA from 1 species